CUUGCCCCUAGAAGCCUUGCAGGUGUGGCUGCUGUGUCACAUGUGAAUCAGUAGGUGGCAGGGAGGAGCGAGCAUGUCUGUGCUCAGUGUUCUGACUUAUGGACAUCUGGAUGAUUAGCAGCCUUUUCCU